rnacentral:rRNA from 1 species
AACAAACGCUGGCGGCGUGCCUAACACAUGCAAGUCGUACGAGAAAGGGUCCUUCGGGGCCUGAGUAAAGUGGCGCACGGGUGAGUAACGCGUGGAUAAUCUGCCCUUCAGUUGGGAAUAACUCAUCGAAAGGUGGGCUAAUACCGAAUAAUGCUGUGAGACCUCGGUUGAUCAGCCAAAGAGAGCCUCUGCUUGCAAGCCCUCGCUGAAGGAUGAGUCCGCGUACCAUUAGCUAGUUGGUAGGGUAAUGGCCUACCAAGGCGACGAUGGUUAGCGGGUCUGAGAGGAUGAUCAGCCACACUGGAACUGAGACACGGGCCAGACUCCUACGGGAGGCAGCAGUGAGGAAUCUUGCGCAAUGGGGGCAACCCUGACGCAGCAACGCCGCGUGAGUGAGGAAGGUCUUCGGAUCGUAAAGCUCUGUCGGAUGGAAAGAACCGCAUAGGGGUAAACAGCCCCUGUGUCUGACGGUACCAUCAAAGGAAGCACCGGCUAACUCCGUGCCAGCCGCCGCGGUAAAAC